rnacentral:rRNA from 1 species
UACGGGAGGCAGCAGUGGGGAAUAUUGCACAAUGGGCGCAAGCCUGAUGCAGCCAUGCCGCGUGUAUGAAGAAGGCCUUCGGGUUGUAAAGUACUUUCAGUCGUGAGGAAGGUGUUAAGGUUAAUAACCUUAGCAAUUGACGUUAGCGACAGAAGAAGCACCGGCUAACUCCGUGCCAGCAGCCGCGGUAAUACGGAGGGUGCGAGCGUUAAUCGGAAUUACUGGGCGUAAAGGGCACGCAGGCGGUUAAUUAAGUUGGAUGUGAAAUCCCCGGGCUUAACCUGGGAAUGGCAUUCAAGACUGGUUAGCUAGAGUCUUGUAGAGGGGGUAGAAUUCCAUGUGUAGCGGUGAAAUGCGUAGAGAUGUGGAGGAAAUACCGGUGGCGAAAGGCGGCCCCUGGACAAAAGGACUGACGCUCAUGUGCGAAAGCGUGGGGAGCAAAACAGGGAUUAGAUACC